GGGCUUCGGGCUGCUACUUAUUCACUGGACAUCAAUAAUCGAACCUAUAGAAGAACAAACGAUACAAGACAGUUUAGUUUGUGAUAAAUCGUGCAUUGCCAAGCAAUCGGCAUACGACUACUAUUUAUAUCAAAGAUAAAUAUCUGCAUUUUGCAAAGCUAGCUGAAAUCAACAAACAUCGUCUCUGAUCUCAAAAGAAACAACAUCUAUCUUAGCACGACAACUUUAUACUCUACAUAGCCACAAGAGGAGACAAGAGUACAACGCACGGUAAAUUAAGGACAUCUUAGCCAGAUUACCAACAACAUACCUCACCAUGACAAACUAAAUUGAACACCAUCACCAAGCUUCACCAGAGGCCCUCCAUUGCGGCAGACUGGCAGCUCUCUUCAACAAAUUUCUUAACUUGGUUGCUGGUAUCUCAAUCUUGAACCUAAAUAGAUAAUGUUAGAAAGCUUUCUAAAAGUAUGAAGUGUUAGUGCGGCUAAGCAAUGCAUACAGCUCAAGAUGACAAUACUCUGGCCUAGAGGCGACGCGGACAAGAAGCUAGCUGGGAAGUUUCCACAGAAAAAUGUAGUUUCUUCUGAAGAACUAGAUGAACAAACAAACAUUACUAAGUAGAACUGGAC
rnacentral:lncRNA from 1 species